AAGCACUUGAAGUCAGCCAUGCUGCUUGAGACUCAGCCUGGCUUUUGCUUGGUGUAUUUCUCGGUAGCAAGCCAGCAUUGGUUUGGGCCGUCGGAGAAGCGUGCAGGGAAUGUGGCAUCCUCGGAUGUGUUAUAGCCCUGUGCUGGAUACGACGGCCUAGACCAAGGCCCGCAGUGUGCCCUCUGGGCGGGUCCUCGGACACCUUCACACUUAGGAUGCUGGCGUAAUGGCUUUAAGUGG
rnacentral:rRNA from 1 species